UUUUCGUUUGGCCACUCCUAGCUUACUUCCAGCCUACUACUCUUACAACAGACAACAUUUCUGGUCGAGGUAGACGGUGGUCAGGCAUACG
rnacentral:precursor_RNA from 1 species